rnacentral:rRNA from 1 species
UACAGAGGUCUCAAGCGUUGUUCGGAUUCAUUGGGCGUAAAGGGUGCGUAGGCGGCGCGGUAAGUCGGGUGUGAAAUCUCGGAGCUUAACUCCGAAACUGCAUUCGAUACUGCCGUGCUUGAGGACUGGAGAGGAGACUGGAAUUUACGGUGGAGCGGUGAAAUGCGUAGAUAUCGUCUGGAACGCCAAAGGUGAAAACAGACUGCUGGGAGUGAUGCUGACGCUGAGACACGAAAGCCAGGGAGCAAACGGG